CCCCUAGAUGUUCUGGGCCGCACGCGCGCUACACUGAACAGUUCAACAAGUCUUAACCUUGGCCGAUAGGUCUGGGUAAUCUUUGAACGCUGUUCGUGAUUGGGAUAGACCUUUGCAAUUAUGGGUCUUCAACGAGGAAUUCCUAGUAAACGCAAGUCACCAGCUUGCAUUGAUUACGUCCCUGCCCUUUGUACACACCGCCCGUCGCACCUACCGAUUGAAUGGUCCGGUGAAAUCUCGGGACGGCGGCUUGGUCGCUUGCGUCCGACUGCUGAAACUUGAUUAAACCAUAUCAUUUAGAGGAAGGUGAANUCGUANCA
rnacentral:rRNA from 1 species